AGGGGUGUAGCCAAGCGGUAAGGCAGUAGACUUUGACUCUAUGAGUUUUUUUCGAAGGUUCGAAUCCUUCCAUCCCUG
rnacentral:tRNA from 1 species